rnacentral:rRNA from 1 species
AUGAACGCUGGCGGCGCGCCUAAUACAUGCAAGUCGAGCGAACAGACGAGGAGCUUGCUCCUCUGACGUUAGCGGCGGACGGGUGAGUAACACGUGGAUAACCUACCUAUAAGACUGGGAUAACUUCGGGAAACCGGAGCUAAUACCGGAUAAUAUAUUGAACCGCAUGGUUCAAUAGUGAAAGACGGUUUUGCUGUCACUUAUAGAUGGAUCCGCGCCGCAUUAGCUAGUUGGUAAGGUAACGGCUUACCAAGGCGACGAUGCGUAGCCGACCUGAGAGGGUGAUCGGCCACACUGGAACUGAGACACGGUCCAGACUCCUACGGGAGGCAGCAGUAGGGAAUCUUCCGCAAUGGGCGAAAGCCUGACGGAGCAACGCCGCGUGAGUGAUGAAGGUCUUCGGAUCGUAAAACUCUGUUAUUAGGGAAGAACAAAUGUGUAAGUAACUAUGCACGUCUUGACGGUACCUAAUCAGAAAGCCACGGCUAACUACGUG